CAUGCUGUAAACGAUGAGUGCUAGGCGUUAGAGGUAACCAUUCCUUUAGUGCCGAAGUUAACACGUUAAGCACUCCGCCUGGGAAGUACGGCCGCAAGGUUAAAACUCAAAGGAAUUGACGGGGGCCCGCACAAGCGGUGGAGUAUGUGGUUUAAUUCGACGCAACGCGAAGAACCUUACCUAGGUUAAAUCCACUAGAACCCAGCAGAAACGUUGGGGUGCUCUUCGGAGAGCUAGUGAGAAGGUGC
rnacentral:rRNA from 1 species